CUCUGGCAGAAGUCAAUGGCUCAUUUGAUUGUCUAGCACAAGCAACUCAAUCCUUGCAUAUGGUAGAUAAGAAAUUGCCCUCAGCUCUGGUUUAAGUAUUGCCUUCCAUCUCCAUGGCACUCAUCGUCUACCACUCCUCACUGAGCUCCCUGCAGCCUGCAAUUUAGCACAUGUUCAUGCUGGGGGGAUCUCCAGAGGUCUCUAGCCCAAGCUACUCCAAGCAGGACCAGUGCUCCUCUCAGCCUGCUCAGCACCUGCACCCCGUCCACAUGAGUUUCAGACAAAGCCAGGUCACUGCACAGCUGGAGGCCCAAGGUGUGCGAUGCUGAGCCAGACAGGCAGUAAAUACCUGAGGCCUGAGUCUGCCUGCCUCGCUGACUUCCGUGGGAGUUGCACUGGGGUGUGUUCAGGGUUCAUGCGCACAGCACAACGCGUUUCAGGAAGGGAGGCGGCUCAGGGCCACGCAGCCAUGCUUUGCUAAAGGGAGCCCACCUCCCUGUGGGAGAAGAGCUUCAGAGGAGACAUCAGGGACUUGUCAAAAGAAAUUCCAGCUAAACAUUGGGUAUACUAAGCUGCAGAGAGGAUUUUGAGUUUGCACUGUUUUGCAAGUCUGCAUUUGCUGCCAAAAAAAGGGUUUUUUUACGGAGAGAGAAGCAUGAUGAGGAACUUGAGGAGUCAAGACUGUGUUUCUCACUGCGCAGUUACCUGAGGAAGAGCCAUGAGCAGGGCAGAGCAGAUCUGUCCUGGCUGCCUCCCAGCUGCCCUCCAACGCCAGCACCUGGCCUUGAUUCCAGAGCAGAAACCUGCAGCUCUGGCAGGACAAGACAAAAAGACAACUUAUUUGAUGGUCUGCAUUUCCAAAAGGAAACGCUACUAAAGUGGUUCUACGGCUGGUACCGCAGUGGGAAGCGCCAUGUGUGUGGGUGCCUGGGGAGCCAGGCUCUGCUCCACCAGGCCUUUUUUCAUCUUCCCACGUGCUUACUCACAGCGCCAGAUGCUGCCUCUCCAACCCGGUGGUGCCAACAUGCCGUUCAAUUGCAAGUUAUUGUAAGCCCAGGCUGUGAGGUGAAGAAUGUUUUAGAAGCACGGCUUGAUAAACCUGUGAAAUAAAUACAUACAAAUCCACUAC
rnacentral:lncRNA from 1 species